rnacentral:rRNA from 1 species
AGAGUUGAUCAUGGCUCAGAACGAACGCUGGCGGCAUGGAUUAGGCAUGCAAGUCGAACGAAGCAGCAAUGCUAGUGGCGGAAGGGUGAGGAACGCGUGAGUAAUCUGCCCUCAAGUUGGGAAUAACAGCUGGAAACGGCUGCUAAUACCGAAUGUGGCUGUUGGGUCGCAUGGUCUGACAGUUAAAGAUUUAUUGCUUGAGGAUGAGCUCGCGUCCCAUUAGCUAGUUGGCGGGGCAACGGCCCACCAAGGCGAUGAUGGGUAGCUGGUCUGAGAGGAUGGUCAGCCACACUGGGACUGAGACACUGCCCAGACUCCUACGGGAGGCUGCAGUCGAGAAUCUUGGGCAAUGCGCGAAAGCGUGACCCAGCAAUGCCGCGUGCGUGAUGAAGGUCUUCGGAUUGUAAAGCGCUGUCAACCGGGACGAACUUAUGACGGUACCGGUGAAGGAAGCCACGGCUAACUACGUGCCAGCCGCCGC